rnacentral:rRNA from 1 species
UUCCGGUUGAUCCUGCCGGACCCGACUGCUAUUUGGGUGAGGAUAAGCCAUGCGAGUUGAAUGGGAAACCUAAAAAUCCCAUGGCAAACUGCUCAGUAACACAUGAUCAACUUACCCUAUAGAGGAAAAUAACCUCGGGAAACUGAGGAUAAUGUUCCAUAGUUGAAUCGGCUUGGAAAAGUUUUUCAAUAAAAGGGAUAAGGAAAAUGGUCCUUAUCUGCUAUAGGAUAGGAUCGUGCUCGAUUAUGGUUGUUGGUGAGGUAAAGGCUCACCAAGCCGAUAAUCGAUAGGGGCCGUGAGAGCGGGAGCCCCGAGAUGGGUACUGAGACAACGACCCAGGCCUUACGAGGCGCAGCAGGCGCGAAACCUCCGCAAUACACGAAAGUGUGACGGGGUUACCCAAAGUGUUCAUUAGAACUGUGGUAGGUGAGUAAUGUUCCCUACUAGAAAGGGGAGGGCAAGGCUGGUGCCAGCCGCCGCGGUAAAACCAGCUCUUCAAGUGGUCGGGAUAAUUAUUGGGCUUAAAGUGUCCGUAGCCGGUUUAGUAAGUUCCUGGUAAAAUCGGGUAGCUUAACUAUCUAUAUGCUAGGAAUACUGCUAAACUAGAGGGCGGGAGAGGUCUGAGGUACUACAGGGGUAGGGGUGAGAUCUUAUAAUCCUUGUAGGACCACCAGUGGCGAAGGCGUCAGACUGGAACGUGCCUGACGGUGAGGGACGAAAGCCAGGGGAGCGAACCGGAUUAGAUACCCGGGUAGUCCUGGCCGUAAACGAUGCAUACUAGGUGAUGGCAUGGCCAUGAGCCGUGUCAGUGCCGUAGGGAAACCGUUAAGUAUGCCGCCUGGGAAGUACGGUCGCAAGGCUAAAACUUAAAGGAAUUGGCGGGGG